rnacentral:rRNA from 1 species
GAUGAACGCUGGCGGCGUGCCUAAUACAUGCAAGUCGAGCGAACGGACGAGAAGCUUGCUUCUCUGAUGUUAGCGGCGGACGUGUGAGUAACACGUGUAUAACCUACCUAUAAGACUGGGAUAACUUCGGGAAACCGGAGCUAAUACCGGAUGAUCUUUUGAACCGCAUGGUUCAAAAGUGAAAGACGGUCUUGCUGUCACUUAUAGAUGGAUCCGCGCUGCAUUAGCUAGUUGGUAAGGUAACGGCUUACCAAGGCAACGAUGCAUAGCCGACGUGAGAGGGUGAUAGGCCACACGGGAGCUGAGACACGGUCAAGACGACUAAGGGAGGCAGCAGUAGGGAAUGUGCCGCAGUGGGCGAAAGCAUGACGGAGCAACGCCGCGUGAGAGAUGGAGGUCUUCGGAUCGUAAAACUCUGUUAUUAGGGAAGAACAGAUGUGUAAGUAAAUGUGCACAGCGUGACGGUACCUAAUCAGAAAGCAACGGCUAACUACGUG